rnacentral:rRNA from 1 species
AGCAGUAGCCGCGGUAAUACGGAGGGUGCAAGCGUUAUCCGGAUUCACUGGGUUUAAAGGGUGCGUAGGCGGAUUAGAAAGUCCGUUGUGAAAUCUCCGAGCUUAACUCGGAAAUUGCGGUGGAUACUAUUAGUCUUGAAUACUGUGGAGGUUAGCGGAAUAUGUCAUGUAGCGGUGAAAUGCAUAGAUAUGACCUAGAACACCAAUUGCGAAGGCAGCUGGCUACACAGAUAUUGACGCUGAGGCACGAAAGCGUGGGGAUCAAACAGGAUUAGAUACCCCUGUAGUACCUGUCUCUUAUAC